CGGACGGGUGAGUAACGCGUGAAUUACAUGCCCUUCAGUGGGGAAUAGCCCAGGGAAACUUGGAUUAAUACCCCAUGGUAUCGCAAGAUUAAAGGUGGCCAGUAGUAAUAUUGGCUGCCGCUGAAGGAUUGGUUCGCACCCUAUCAGCUUGUUGGUGAGGUAAUGGCUCACCAAGGCUACGACGGGUACCUGGUCUGAGAGGACGAUCAGGCACACUGGAACUGAGACACGGUCCAGACACCUACGGGUGGCAGCAGUCGAGAAUAAUUCACAAUGGGGGCAACCCUGAUGGUGCACC
rnacentral:rRNA from 1 species